rnacentral:rRNA from 1 species
CCAAUAGCGUAUAUUAAAGUUGUUGCAGUUAAAAAGCUCGUAGUUGAAUUUCGGGGUUCUACCGUUGGUCGGGCAAUUGUCUGUACUGGCGUGUGGAAUUUCUACCUUCUGGGGAACCAUCAUGUUAUUAAUUUAGCGUGGUGGGAAACCAGGACCUUUACCUUGAAAAAAUUAGAGUGUUCAAAGCAGGCUUACGUCUGAAUACAUUAGCAUGGAAUAAUAAAAUAGGACGGUGGUCCUGUUUUGUUGGUUUCUGAAUCACCGUAAUGAUUAAUAGGGAUAGUUGGGGGCAUUAGUAUGCAAUUGUCAGAGGUGAAAUUCUUGGAUUUAUUGAAGACUAACUUCUGCGAAAGCAUUUGCCAAGGAUGUUUUCAUUAAUCAAGAACGAAAGUUAGGGGAUCGAAGACGAUCAGAUACCGUCGUAGUCUUAACCAUAAACUAUGCCGACUAGGGAUCGGACGAUGUUAAUUUUUCUUGACUCGUUCGGCGCCUUACG